rnacentral:rRNA from 1 species
UGCCAGCAGCCGCGGUAAUACAGAGGGUGCAAACGUUGUUCGGAAUCACUGGGCAUAAAGCGCACGUAGGCGGUCCAGUAAGUGUGAAGUGAAAGCCCACGGCUCACCCGUGGAACUGCUUUGCAUACUGCUGGACUCGAGGAUGGUAGGGGAGAGCAGAACUCCUGGUGGAGCGGUGAAAUGCGUAGAUAUCAGGAGGAAUAUCGGUGCGAAGGCGGCUCUCUGGUCCAUAUCUGACGCUGAGAUGCGAAAGCGUGGGGAGCAAACAGGAUUAGAUA